CGUUAAUUGAGUUGGUUCUUGGCUGAUGCAAAGUAUUAUUGAAUUAUAAUAUAUUAUUACUCGAUACAAGUAAUAUACUGGUAUAUUAUUUAUUAAGAUGAACGAACCAAGUUUCAGAACAAAAAAAAUUUUGGCUUUAACAACCAAAUUAAACAAACAGCUUAAAGAGCAAAAGGAAGUUUAUCGAUCUUUAGCAAGUUGCUCAAAAACAAAUCGUAGUGAGACUGAGGCAAAUGAUCCGGAUUAUCAUGUUUCUAGUUCAGAUAUUGAAUCAAGUGAAUCGGACGAAAAUGUUGGAAAGCCCAACAAAUAAAAUUUUUGCAGAGAAAGAUGAUGGUAGUGAGACGAUUGAGGGAUCACUAAAAUUUAUCAUGGAAAAGCUACUAACUCACGUCGAUGAACAUGUUACGACACGCGGGACAAAAAGGAAGAGAAGAAAAUAUAAGAUCCCACUUAGAGAAAGGAAUCUUCUUAAAUUGGAAAAUUUUAAAAAUAAGCAUCGCGUCAAACAACCUUGUUCUGCUUUAUGCAAAAAAAAUGUAUUAGUAAAAUUUCAGAUGAAAGGCGAGUACAAAUUAACUAAGAGUUUUGGGCAAUGACACCACAAGAACGAAAAAACUAUAUGUACUCUAAAACAAAAAAAGUACCUGUAAAAAGACGUACUGCUGGUUUAAAUUCACGCAGAAACUUUACUGUGAUUUACGUUUGUCCAGAUGAUGGGGGUAUUGACCAAGAAGUUUGCAAAACUUUCUUUUUAGCAACUAUGGGUUUCAACAACAAAGUGGAUAAAUGUUUACGUACUGUGCUUAAAAAUACUCCUUAUGGUUCUUUGCAAGCAACUUCGGAUCGUCAUGGCAGUCAUUCUCCUACAAACAAAAUAGACAGAACGUCCAUAAUAAAUCAUAUUAAUUCCUUUGAGCCUUCCAUAUCACACUAUCGCAGGGUGCAUGCUCCCAACCGAAAAUAUUUACCUACAGAUCUCAAUAUUCAGAUGAUGUACAAUGAUUUUAAAAUAAAAGAACCAAAUAUUGUAUGUUCCUACGAGUUAUAUAGAAAAAUACUACAAUCAAUGAAUAUAUCUUUUGUGAAGUUGGGACACGAAGAAUGUUUUGUUUGUGAGAAGUAUUUCUUGCAUGAAAAAGACUCACAAUAUAAGAGGGAUGAACCUGAACCUAAUUGUUCUGUUUGCAAAGAAUAUACGAUUCAUAAGAAAAAAGCUACAGAGUCACGAAAAUGCUACGAAAGAUACUAGUGGAACAGCCAUAUAUUCUGCUGAUUUGCAAAAGGUAAUCAUGCUUCCAAGAUAUGAAUCCUUGAAGGAAGUUAUAGUUACGGGGAGUAUCACAGCAUUCAAUUAAUCUUUUGAAAUCUGAAAAGAACAGGAUAUUUGGCAUAGCAGUUAUUUGGCAUGAAGGUGUGGCCGGACGCUCAAAAAGUGAUAUCAUUAGCACAUUUUAUUCAUUUUUUUUACGGCAUAGGGAUAACAAACAUAUAAUUCUGUGGCUUGAUAAUUGCUCAGCACAAAAUAAAAAUUGGGCACUUUUAUCAUUUUUUGUCAGCCUAGUAAAUUCAGAUGAAAUUAGCCUUGAAAAACUGGAAAUUAAAUAUUUUGAGCCCGGCUACACUUUCAUGUCGGCGGAUUCAUUCCACCACCAGGUUGAGAUCCCUUAAAAAAAAAGGAAAAGUUUAUGAUUUUCCGGAUUUUGAAGACUGUGUACAGCAAUGCAAACAGUGUUAAAGUUUUGGUAAUAAAUAUGCAACAUAAUAAUUUCUACAAUUGGUUAGACCACAGCUCUCAAUAUAAAAUUAAAAAUAUUAAACCAAGUCGACCAUACCUAAAUAAAAUGGUGCACAUCCAGUUUUCACGAGGGGAGUUUACUUUGACUUACAAAUAUAGCUUUUGUGACGAUUUUGUCGAGUUAAAUUUUCUAAACGCCAAAGUGCAAAAAAAAGGAUUUCCAGAGAUUUUGCCUAGGAAUACAAACAGGGGCACACCAGCUGAAAAAAAAAGUUCUAUUUUGACUAAACUUGGGCCUGUACUUCCAAAAAAUAGGCUUGCGUUUUGGGAAAAGUUACCAGUUCUUUCUGAAGAAUCUGAAAUGGUGGAAGAAGACGAAGACACGAGUUUUUUUGUUGAAUCAUUUGGAAUCAUUUGGAAGAUUUUUUUGAAUUUGAGGCAAUAAAACUGUAUUUUAACGAAUGUAUUUUUAUUAUUAUUAUUAUAGGUAUUUGCUAGCAAAAACAGUAGAAAAUAAAGGUCUUAUUUCACCCGAAAUUCCUUUUAUUAUGAUGACCGGUUUCGCGAUUACAAUAUCAUCGCAUCAUCAGGUCGAGGACUAAAAGUAAAAGACACAAUUUACAUAGAUACUACGCUUAUCAAAAAUUGGUAAAAUGCUGAAUAAAAUCGAAUUUUGAAGCGUACUUACAUUGUUAAAAACGAGAUUUGUCAAAACAAAACAAAAGCACAUAUAGAACGGUACAGUUAAAAUUAAGCGAGUAAAUCUUAUCGUAAGAUAACAAAUAAUACACUUAGGUUCAAAACAAUAACAUCUAAAAAGCACCGUUACAACACAAUAGACAAAACGAUCUAAAAACUAUGAUAACCGCCAUUUAAACUAAUCUGAC